GAUCGUAUAUUAGUUUUCAUUUAAUCUGAUUAUUCUGGGCUGGAGUUCCUGGAGGGUCUUCAGGUUAUUGUCAGUCAAAAGAAUCUUUAAAAGCUUCCAUUUGCACUAAACUUUUCCCAUUAGAAGUCUAUUUUCAUUAUGGAUCGAUUUUUAUUUUAAUGAAAAAAUGAUUCUCCCAACCCCCUGCUUGCUUUUUUUUUCCCAGCCAGGGUUAAAACUGAAGCUGCAGCGGGGUCUUGCCACUCAAAAUACCAUUUUCCUCUUUUGCUGAGGCCGUUGGCUUGGUUGAAGGAGCUUGGGCAGACAAGGAGGGGACAGAUAAUGCAGAAAGGCACCUCCUCUUCUCCCAGUGAUGCUUCUGGAUUUUACAUCGGGUGUGCCAGCCUGAACCUUCCGGAGUCCACAUGCCAUCCAUGCUGCUCCCAUAGGUGAUCCCAGUGCUGACUCUGGGGAGGCCCAGGACCACGCAAGGCUCUGUGGGGACAUCCAUGGCCUGUUCACUGAAGAGGAGACUGGGUAUCAGGAGCUGCAUGAGGAACAGGGGGUGACCACCCCAAAACCCCACCUGCAGGUCCCUGAGCACGGAGGGCACCACCGGACCCAUCGGCAGAGACGGUUUUGCUCCUGCAAGAUGGGAUGUGGCCACCUUCCUGGCAGAAAGAGGGAGAAGGAAGAUGGUUUUCAUGGGCAGGAAGGUCACCGCUGAAGCACUGAAAUGCCACAUGGUGAUACUGGGGGAGACCAGGCUCAGCCCACAUGACAGUCAAGCAGCUCUGGAUGGCUGGGAGUUGUCUUUGGAUGCCAGCGUCCAGCCCCACCAGCAGUGAAGACACAGCUCCUGUCUCCCCACCUCUCUCCCCGGGGUAUUGGGUCCCACCAGCCCUCGUGCAGGCUUGGAAGAAGCUUGCCAUGAACUUCUGCAAAGAUUCCUUGUUUUCCUCCUCGAAAUCAGGCCCGAAAACUCCUGUGCCAGGCGAAGUCUCACUGCGAAGACCCUGCGCCGGGCCAGCUGCUUUUCCCGUCACUCCUCUGCACGCCAGAGACAAAGAAACAGGCUGGGACGAGUCAAACCCUUCGAUCUGGGAAUGAUUUAAUGAUUUCUUCCUUUUAGAUGUCUGUAUGGGCAGCAAACAGGCCUUGUGCUCCAAAACUGUGGCACAGGCAGCCUUCUGUGUAAGUGUUUCUACUGCCACCACAGGUAACACGUGGCGUCUCCGCUAACCAGCAUCUCUGCUAUGGCUCUUGCUGCUGCUGAGAAAGCAGCAUUGUCCCAGUGUCUUGCAAACGGAGAGAAGAUGCGUCCAAGCUGCAGACGCUGUCGGUGCAGCACUCUGGCAGCCCGCAGACAGCCCAGACCCCCAGGAGCAUACCUGGGUUCCUUCUUCUCUGUGUACUCUGUGUAGAGGGAUUAUAACAGCGCUGACCCUUCCCAGACGCCUGUGAGCACGGGGCAGGUGAUGGCUGAGGAUGCACAGGUAGAUUCACUGCAGGGUGAUCCUUGUGUGGUGUUUAUAACUGAUGCCACGGCCAAGGCCCAGGUCCAUGUCAAGACCUUGGGCACAUUUUAGGUGCCUGGUGCCAUUUAGGCAGGACCAGACCUGGCCUCCAGCUGCUCCUCCAGCAGGCUCAGGUCUCCUAUGGAUCCUGGCAGGCCCAUGGUUUGCUCUGAGACCCCAGAGCAUCUCACACAGCACCAGGCAGCUCUGUUUAGGGCCCUGAAUCCCACCCCUGCUUUCCUGGAGGGUGGGUUGCACCCGGCAGUGGCCACUGCCUUUGCGUCUCGUUGGUGGCCACCUUCAUGCCCUGGGCUGACAGGGGCCACCAUUUGCAGCACCAGCACUGGGGUUGACUGUGUAGGCUUUCCUGCACUGGGAAGUUUGGGCCUGUUCCCAGCACCGCUGCUAUGGACAGAAUGAUUUAUGGACACAUUAUUAAAACCAUAUUUUCAUCCUCAGAGCAUGAGGGAACCAGUGGGUGGUACUUGAGGCAACAUGCCCAGGGAGGAUGGGGGUGUUCCUCAGACCACCUGGCUUCUCAACAGAGAUGAACAGCAACAAGGUUGGGUAACGGACUGGCCCAGAGCACGAGAGAGGAGAUGCUGGAGCAAGUCUAGCCUCACUCAGGAGGAACAGAUUAUCCAGGAAACAUCUCCCACCUCCCCGCGUGCUUAACAUCAUUCAUCAGCUGCCUCUGCUCUCCAUCACUGUUGGGCACCGAAUUUCUGCACAUGGAUGGGCUGCUCAGAGACAGGGGAGAAGGUAAUGUGAUCCAGGGUGAGGGUGAACUCAUCCAACCAUGCACCUUCUGCAGGGACACAGCAUAGCAGAAUUACUGCCAUGCCUAACCUGCCAGCGAGCAGCUCUUCUCAGAUCAGCUCAUCACAGUUUCUCAGCAAAUACAAGGAAAACAUUUGCAGGGCACCUGCUCCCCCACCCUCACACCUGGAGACCUUCUGCCUUCACCUCUUUGAGCGAUCGGCCAUGCUCACUCAUCACCUCUGGGACCUGGCGCUGCUCCUCCAGACCCGCUCAUCACACUGUGACAGAUGGGUCCCUCCUGCCUUCGAAGCAGAUGAGGCACUGUGCGACUUCGUGGCACUGCCUGCAGACUGCUCGAGUGCUUCCUGGGGCCAGGGGUGCUGGCUCACGCUUGUGGGGCAAGACUGGAGCCAUGAAGAGAAAUGUGCUCAAGCACAGGCCCGGGAUGGCAGUGAGCGAGGUCAUUCGGAGGAUGAAACCAGGAUGGCAGUAGCAUCACUGGAUUUCCAAGCCUGGAAAUAAUUCUCUUUUAAUUUGAUUUUUUAAAAAAAUAGGAGCACUUCAUCUUUUUUAUCAUGUCCAUAUCAACUUCUGUCAAGAGUGAAAACCCAGCUCUUUUUUGUGUUUGUUUUGUGGCUUUAUGAAGACAUAAAUCUGCAGAUCUUGGCUCCCACACGUCCUUAUGGGACUCCUAGAGAUCCAGUGGUAACAGCUAUUUGCUCUCCAGCUCCAGCAUUUUACAGCCUACCAGAACAAAUCCCACUUGCCUACCCUCCCGUCCAAAGCCCUGGAGUUCAGAGAAGUGAGGACACACCAGAUGGUCUGGCACAGCCCGGUGAUGGCAGCCCAGCUGGGGAGAGCGGGGCGAAGGCUGGAUAAAGCUCAUGGAGAUGGCUGAUUUGCUACCUUGAACUUGUUCAGCAUUUCUUACUGACAACAUCUGUGGUAGGGCAAGAGGUGUGCGAGCAUCUACCUGUCCAUGGGCUGGAGAGUGGAGGUGACCUUUCCAUGGGCCAGUGCUGAGCCGCUCAGAGAGAGCGGGGCUGUGCGACUGCUGAAACGGCCUGGCAGGAGGUCUUUAAAUUGCUCGAUGUCUCUGUACUGAAAAGCAAUACCUGCUGAGAUUAAACCGUUUGGCCUCCUUCCCCCUGUCUCCAAGGCAAACAUAGACAGUUCUAUUCAUACCCACAAGAAAUACAUAUUUCAGCAUUUGAUUCUUUUUGUGUGUGCUUUGUUUUAUCUAGCGCCAUGGAGCUUGGAUGUCUUUUUCAUCUCAUAUUGUGCUUUGGAUGCAGCCUCUUUUAUUCAGCCCUCUCACUGCCUUCAUAAAGAAUAACAGCAGCAGUUGUUGUUUUUUCCCCUGGAGCAUGGGCUGCUGUAAACCAAAGGGAAACUUCUUGCUGAAAGAGGGAGAGAGCAGGCGGGACACUGCCAUAUCCAUUUCCACACCAGAGCUGCAGCUCUGCAGGCCCUGCAGUUUGGCUUUCUCAAGCCUUCACAGAGAGCAACAAAUUGUCCUAUAAAAAUUCUUUGGUGGAAUUUUCUUUUUCUAAGGAGACAGGCCCAGCUUGUAAACUUGGGACUAAGAUCUUCUACUUCUUAAAUGGACAGCAAAAUCCAAGACAGACACCGUGGCACUGAAAUCUAACAGGGUCCUCAGGUUCUGCCCCUCUUCCUGGCUGUGGGAAUCCCAUUUUGUGGGCUUAGCUAAACCCCCAUCUCAUGCAACCUCUUGGCAACUGUGAUAAAGGAGAAAACCUUGCAAGGACAUUUCUGCUUAUCUUCCAGUUGAGGAGGGACAGAGAGCUGCCAGCCCAAGUGCCAGAUUUGAAGGAUGUAGUCCAGCCUCACCUCCGUAUUCCCAUGAAGGUGAUUUGGGGUGAGGAUGGGAACUGCUGCCUCCAGCCUCUUCCCUUCCACAUCCAGCUUGGCAGUCACACUGUAUGUGCACCAAAGAGCCAGAGGUGCACGAGCCCUGUCCUGAGGUAUCGUCCAUCUUGCUGUCGGUGGCCGCGCUGCUGACAUCCGUGCUUCCCCCUGCUCAUGCCCUCAGCUCCGCAGCAUGGCUCAGGAACAAGUGCAGCCAGGGUUUCAGCUCCACAGGUCACCAGCUGCUGAUAAAUGGCUUUCCUGGAGAUCAGUUGCUUCCCCUUUGCCAUGCGAAACGCCUGGGCUGCCUGCACAGAACGGCUCUGCUGGACACCGGGGAGAGGUCCCCGUCACGGUCAUGCUUGAGACACUCUGAAAAACAGUAAGAAAAUAAGGACACCAUAUUCAAACUAAGAGAGAGGAAGGGCUGAGCUGGUGGAGCCUGGGCACCCUCCUUUUCACUCCUUCUUCCCCUUCCUUCCUCUCCAGCUUUCCUCUGUGCCUGGAGGUGGACCACAUCCAGGGCAAUGUGUGUAUGGGGCUAAGAUGCAACAAAUAAACUCCCAUAGGUCUGCAUUACAUAGAUCCUCCCAUUUUCGUUAUUUCCACCUUAAUUAUAAAUAAUGCGCUAAGCAGAAAGUUGUUCAUCCAGAAACCUUUAGGCACUGGCUCCCAUCAUCCAGUCUGGAUUAUCUCCCAGGCAGAGUGCUGCAAACCACGCCAUCCUUUCCAUGGUGGUUUCCAAUGGCCAUGAGUGAUGUCGGAAGCAAGAACAUCUUGUGGCAAUAUGUUGCCCUUGAACCUUUGAGUUGGGAAUCACAGGUUUUAAGGCAUUUGAAAUCUGUGUCUGAAAUCUGUGACUCAUGUCAUGCUCUGACCUGUGAGAAGGGAUGCUUUGAACUGGUGUGGCUGCGUGAGUUAACCAGAGCAGCUCUCCUGGGACCCACGGUGUCUGGGAGGUUGUGCCCAGCAAUACCCUUCCCAGCUCUACAGUCCCAUCCUUCAUGCCCAGGGCCAGGUGAGGGAUGGCCGGUACCGUCCCUGCAAAUCCAACCCUCCAGCACCCAGGGCAGAGGAGGCAGGAUGGGCAGGGUUGGGAACAGCAUCUCCUCAGCCACAUGCGUCUCUUCAGCUGCGCAGACCACCGAAGACAAAUGAACUGGAGGAAGCAUUUCCUCUGCUGAAGGCUCACACCCGGGAGGUUUCUGCUCACAGUGUAGGUCAAGAGUUGAAAAAUGAAGAAGAAAGGAAAACAGAUAGAAAGAUCCAUCUUCCCUUAUAAAAUCCCCAGAGCAGGGGGCAUUUGGAAGUCAUUUUUCACUGAGCUGAGAGCUGUUUCUGGCCCUUUAGCAGACAUUAUUCUCUUCUCAGACCUCAUAGUCUGGGACAUGGGGAAGCGCUCUCCCUCCAUCCUCACAGGUGUUGGAAAAGGAGCAUUAUCCUGGGUGCAAGACACUUGGCACCUUCCUCCAAGGCUAGGGUCCAUGGUGGUUUGGGCUUUGGGGCAAGGUGGAGUCCAAUGCAUGCUAAAAAUUGCUCUGUUCAUCUUUUGCAAAAUCAAACAAGUGGCUUGGAUUUGCUGGCAUUAAUGCACAGGUUAAGGGGGACAGCUUUUAAGGAGGAAAACCCAUGCAGCAAGAGGAAGAAGAAUUUCAGCAUGGUUAAAGGAAAUCUAAAUAAAAUUCCUUUCUGGAAGGAAUUAAAGAAAAUUAUUUUCCUUGUGUUUCUGUCUCUCUUCUUCUGGCUUAUAAAAACACCUUGGCUCAGAUAUUACAUCAACUCUGCCUUUUAUUAAAAACCCCCGCUCCAGUUGUGCAGAUUUCAUGCUGUUACAUGAAAGUAAAAUUUUAUGACCAGAAGCUGAAAUUAGGAAGGAAACUUUUUGUUGUUGUUGUGGGUUGGACUUUUUUGGUAGUCAUGAGGGUUUGUUUAUUUUUUCUUUUCUAAAGCACAGCCAACUCCCCCAGGUCUCAUCACUCCAGGCGGGUUUUUUGAGGAUGCUUGUUCCAAACAGGUGCUGGUGUGGGGGAAGCUGAGCCCUGCAGAGAGCAAGGGGAUGGGUGAUGUUCUCCCAGCGCUACUGUGGUUGCCUUUGAGCUAGCAGGGGUUUCAUGGCUGUCUCAGAAUAGGAUGUAUGUAUGGGAGAGAAAAUGCGUUUCAUUGCAUGGGACACAGGUCCUGGGUGUCCGGCCCUUCUCAGGUUGUGAGCUAGGUAACCAUGCAAAAGCACGAGCUAUUCCCUCCUCUCAGCCUCCCCUGUAAAUCCAGAUCUGAUGGAUGAUACUUUGAGUUGAGCCCGUAUUCAACACCAGCUGCUUGUUGCCAUCAGACUUUUUUUUUGCCUUCUUUCACUUUAAAUGUGGUACUUCUGGUUUUUCAUUAAUUCCUCCCCUGCUAAAAAAAAAAAUAAAUGUGGAAGAGCAAAAAAAUGUUUUAAAAAGUCAUUUGGUCCUUCCUUGUUGGUGAGCUAUUGUGAGAUUAAGGAAUUACUACACCCGAAGGUGUUAAGAGUUGCAUGGAGUUAAAUGGAAGUUACAGCAAAGAAUUACAGUGCUGGUUUCUUGUGGGACCUUGGCAAGGUGGCUUUGCAUCUCCAGGAUCCGUCCCCACAGCCCCUGUUGCUCCCCAGCCCUUGGGACAGAUUCAGAGACCCCCGGGCUGGUGGGAAGAGCAGCGUGGGACCAUCCCACCAACCCAGCUGUGACUCGGGGCUGGGGACCUCUCCCUGCUUCUGCUGCAGCACCUUGGGGGCGGAGCAGCCGGAGGACAUCUCGGGGGACUUCAGGACAUGGACCUCCUCUCCUGCCGCGUCCCUGCUUCAGAGACACUCGCCGCGGCUGGGAUGGGGGAUGUAGGUCAAGCCCCACGGUCCCUCCGUUUCCUUCCAGCCCAAACGUCUGCAACCUACUCCUGCCCUUGGAAGAUUUACGGAGCAGCAGUAAGUAUUUCACCAGCUCUUUAUUAAUAACACGGCAAUAAAAAAGGUGCAGCCUUUCUUUCCAAGGACUUGCAGAGCC